rnacentral:rRNA from 1 species
UACGAAGGGUGCAAGCGUUGCUCGGAAUUAUUGGGCGUAAAGGGUAGGUAGGUGGUCACACAAGUCUGGGGUGAAAUCCCUGAGCUUAACUCAGGAAGGGCCUUGGAAACUGCGUGACUAGAGUAUUGGAGAGGGUCGUGGAAUUCCCGGUGUAGCGGUGAAAUGCGUAGAGAUCGGGAGGAACAUCAGAGGCGAAGGCGACGACCUGGACAAUAACUGACACUAAACUACGAAAGCGUGGGGAGCAAACAGG